rnacentral:piRNA from 1 species
UAAAAGUGGAAGAUUAACCAGAUGGA